GAAAAAUUAGCUGAAAAAAAAGAUUUAGUUAAAAAAGAAUUCGAAACGAAAUUGCUUAAAAAGGAAGAAUUAAUAUUUCAGCUCAAGCAGGAAGUCCACGUGCUUCAAAGCGAGGCUGAGAGGCGCUCUAAAGAAACUUUUUCUUAUAAGGAACGCGUUUCGAAGUUGUUUGAGAUCAUUUCUGAAUAUGAAAUUUCUAUCCAGAAAUUGCUCGCUAAAGUGGAGUGCGGAAGAGAAACUAUUCGAGAACUUCAAUCUGUUAUUGCUGAAAAUCGUAGUGAAUAUGAACUUUUGCAAAAAAAUUUAAAAGAAACCAAAAUUUCAUUACGCGAGUGGACGAAAAAAUGCGAAAGAUUUAGUGAACUCAACACGACUUUGCAAAAAACCGAAAGUACUCUUCGCGAAACAGUAUCUUCUCAUAUAAACACGUGGCGUUUGGCUGAAGAACGGUAUGAGUCGCUGAAGAUUCUCUCCGAACAAUCACGUGCAAACGCGAACGAACAAAUUUCAGCACUUCAAAAAAAACUGGCUGAUUCUCAAUCAGAAUUAGCGCGCUCUGAAGAAAAAGUUAAAAAGUUGCAAAAGAUUUUGGUGUUGAAGGAAGAAGAAUGCGCGCAUUACGC